UGGCACUCUCGUUUUAGGAUUCCAGCCCCUAAUUCUUUCAGAGUAAAUACUGAAAAGUCAAAGGACCUGUCAAGAUCAUCGGCCAUGACAGUGGCUGGAUGGAGGCCACCUCAUCCAUCUGGUCCUGGCAUUUCUGAGAAAGGACCAUGCUGAACCAUGCAGAGCAAAUUUGCAAGGUUAUAAUUCUUUGAUUUGGGUAAAGUGUCUGGUGUUGGAGCUGAGAGGCAUCAAUGGAUAAUACUUUUUAUGCUAUUUGCUCUUCUUUAGUGCUAUCUCAUGGACUGCCUCAUUGGUUGUCACAAUAAUACUGUGAGGUAGGUAGAACAAGUAUCAGCAUCCCCCGUUUGACCUCAUGGGAAGCAGACACAAUUUUUUUUUGUGUGUGUGAUGGAGUCUCACUCUGUCACCCAGGCUGGAGUGCAGUAGCAUGAUCUCGGCUCACUGCAACCUCCAUAUCCCUGGUUCAAGCAAUUCCCCUGCCUCAGCCCCCUGACUAGCUGGGAUUACAGGCACCUGCCACCACACCUGGCUACCUUUUUUGCAUCUUUUGUAGAGACGGGGUUUCACCAUGUUGGUCAGGCUGGUCUCGAACUCCUGACCUCGUGAUCCACCCACCUUGGCCUCCCAAAGUGCUGGGAUUACAGGCGUGAGCCACUGCUCCCGGCCGCAGACACACUUUUCUCUACAGUGUGAGAGAGAGGUGCCCUGUUUGGCCAAAACCAGGAGUAGCACAGAGUCUGCCCUGCACUUUUGGUGUCACCCUAAUAAUCCUUGGGAAAAUUACAG
rnacentral:lncRNA from 1 species